AGAACACGAUAAAAGUUUUCUCCACUGUAAUGGAGAAAGAGCCUCGAGGUAGUCCGGCGUCAAAAAGUGCCCAAGUUCAGAUUUUUGUUUGUAAAGCAGAAGAAAUGCGUCUAAUGGAAAAGGUAAACGAGGCCAAAAUCUACCUAACUAAAGCUCGGGAACUCAAUAGCGAACUGAAGGAUCAAAGUAAGGAAGCUGGAAUUUUGGAGAUCCUAGGUUUCUGUUACGAAGAAACUGGUGAGUACGAAAAAGCUAUAAAAACGGCCAAAGAAGCCAUAGCUAUAUUUCAGCAGCUUCCAGGACCGACAGGACUAAUAGGCCAUGGUAACGGUCUUGUUUUUAUUGGAAGUAUAUGUAGUAAACUUGGGAAAUAUGAAGAAGCCAUCGCACGUCAAGAGGAGGGUAUUGAGAUAUUGUUAAGGUCAGGUAAUGAAGUUCUUUUAGGAAUCGCCUAUGGCAAUAUGGGAGAAACAAAAAAUCGAAUAAAAGAACACGGAAAAGCCAUAGAGUUAUGUUCGGAAGGUUUAAGAAUAAGUCGGAAGACAGGCAACAAACUCGAGGAAGCAAGACAUCUUCAUAACAUAGGAGAUGCAUAUCACCAGAUGAAAGAGUUUAAGAAAUCUAUUAAAUACUGUGAAGAAAGCCUAAGAAUUUUUAGAGAUAUUGGCAACAAGAAAGGAGCGUCCAUUUCUCAAGGAGUUCUAGCAAGCAGCUACAAUCGCUUAGGGAAAACACAUAUUUCUGAAGCUUAUUUCAAACGCUGCAUCGAAAUUAAUCAAGGUAUGAUGCAAUUUUCAGAUUUAGCAAUUGUACAUGGAAAUAUGGGUAUACAACACUACGAAAUCGCUUUUUUGGAGUUUCUCAGUUUCCAUGAUGCUAAAAUAUCGCUCGAAAGUUGUAUAGAAUCCUUCAAACUGGCUAUAGAGUCAACUGAUAAAGUUUUGGCCAGUUUAUCAGAAGACAAUAACAAGACUGCUUUUUCAGAUAAAUUUUAUCGUUGGUACAACAGCCUUGUGAGUCCUUUCAUUCUGUUAGGAAGGUGUACAGCAGCACUAUUAUUUCUUGAUUUGGGAAGAGCAAAAAUAUUAAGACACCUUGUUUACAAGCAAGUGCAAGAAGACGAUAACAGUAAAUCGAGUUUUGAAUCAUCAUGGUUGACCAUUGAGGAUGGGAAAGAGAAGGAACGAAUUUUCAUCCUAACUAGAGAAAUACAACUAUUGGAGUCUGAUGCUACCAUUCUGUUCUAUAAUUUCAACGACGAAGAAAUAUUUACGAUUUGGAUAUUACACGCAGAUGGAUGUGUCUCUUUAAAAACGUCAGAUCCUACUUCCAAAACCAAAACUUCUCGUCAAGAAUUGGAGGAAAACAUCAAGAAAGUGCUGGAGAAGGCAUCCGGCCGAUUCCCGCGGGGGUACUCCUUUUUCAAACAGUCAACCGUCAGCGAUUUUAAAGAUCCGAAUGCCAAACCAUUAACUUCUAGUCGACCUGAGAAUGAAGAAAAUGCAGCGGGAGCAACAAGUCACGAGCAGAAGAAAGUCAAAGUUAUAGAGAGCACAGACAAGUACAGAGCACCUGCUAAAAGAACUGACGAAUCAUGUGAUGAUUUGACGAAAGGUACACGUUCACUUUUGUACAGAGCCUUGAUUAAACCAGUGAAGAGUUUAAUAAGAGGAACUAAGCUCAUUAUUGUUCCACAAAGCUGCAUCUUUUUCGCGCCUUUUUCAUCCUUUAUUGAUGAAAAUGACUGUCUCUUAUCGGAGCAAUACCAGAUUCAAAUAAUUCCUUCAGUUCACGUUCUCGCGAUAAGCAUGCAAGCAUCUACAAGCAAGCAAAUUGGAUCUUCUUUGUUUGUCGGAAACCCAGAAGUUCAAAAUGUUCUGCUUCUACCCCUACCGUCAGCGGAAGAAGAAGUAAAAUACCUUGCAUCGCUACUGGAUGCAAAACCACUCACCGGCCGAAUGGCAACAAAGAGCAAAUUGAUGAAUGCGAUGUCUAAUGCUUCCAUCAUUCAUAUUGCCGCCCAUGGUCAAGAACAGACUGGUCACAUUUUCCUGGCUCCUGAAUCAAGCAAAUCAAAUGAAGGCGCUCACCAAGCGUCAUCGUCGGACCUCCUCACGCAAAGGGAUGUUCUAAAGUGCAAGCUGUUAGCUCGGCUAGUCGUUCUCUCGUGUUGCCACACUGGAAUGGGGAAGUUAUCUUCCGAAGGCGUUUUAGGCAUUGCCAGAGCAUUCCUUGGAGCUGGCGCUAAUUCGGUAUUGGUUACACUAUGGAGUAUUGAUGACAAAUUUACAAAGAAGUUUAUGAUAGCUUUCUACGAAAAAGUUUGCGACGAAAAAUCGGUUUGCCUUGCAUUGAAAGAAACCAUGAAUCAGUUUCAAAGAGGUGGACAAUAUACUUCGUACUUGUUCUGGGCUGCUUUUGAAAUCCUUGGUGAAGAUGUAAGUUUCACUAGAGGCGAAAUCGAAGAAAUUCGAAGAAAGAACAGAGAUAUACAGUAAUCACAAGCAAUUAAAUUUGAAACUAAGAAUAGAUUAGUUAUCGACACCGUGGUAACUAUAGCUUUUUCUCGAAGAACAGUUGCUACGAAAACAGGCUCAAUCACGAACUAAAUAUAGGAUAAAGCUCAAGUACGGGGCUUCAAGAAACGGGUACAUUAUCCAUUUUGAUGUACUGUAUUUUCCACUGUUGGGAACAUAUGCAACUCAUUCCAUCGUUUUCAAAGGAGGAUAAGAAGUUUUAAUUUCCUUAAGGUCCAGUCAAUUAAAAGACGAAUAAUUAUAUUCCUAAGUUGUCCGACUCAGACAUUUGUGAAGGUAGACCAAAAUUUCUCCGUACUUGCGUGGCAAUGACAAACGGAUACAAAAUUUUAAAAAAUUCAAUUCAUAUACUGGAUUACAUUUAAACCGUAAUCUUUCAACUGAGAUUGUGGUCGAGAAAAACCAAGACUGCAGUAUCUUCGGAGUGGUCAUACUCAACUUGAGUAAACAUAGUAAACAAUAACUUAGUAAACUUGCUCUAAAUAAAAGAAGUUAAAUAAGAAUAAAGAAGCGUUCUAAACAAUAGAAAAUCUAUUGAAUAUAAAAUAAUCAUGCGAAACGCUUAAAGUAGUAUAGUUUUCUGCUGAGUUGUUGCUGUCAUUAGUUUAUAAAGUACUGUAUACUGUAUACAUUAGGGAACAGAUUGGAAGUUAGAGGAUAGAAGGGACAGAAGGGAAAAGGACAACCUCGUAGUUAAUAAAUUAGAAAAGAGUUUAUGUAGCAACAAAGGAACAAUAUAUUUUUGUGUGACUUUUAUAUUUCGUUUACGUUAAAGUAUAUAGAGUAAAAUAAGUGGAUUUGUUACACAACCCUCGGUGUAACCUAUAUUAAAGCAGGUGAUAUGUAUUAUGAUUAUG
rnacentral:lncRNA from 1 species